UAGGGAAUCUUCCGCAAUGGACGAAAGUCUGACGGAGCAACGCCGCGUGAGUGAUGAAGGGUUUCGGCUCGUAAAACUCUGUUGUUAAGGAAGAACACUCGAGGUAGUAACUGGCCUUGAGAUGACGGUACUUAACCAGAAAGCCACGGCUAACUACGUGCCAGCAGCCGCGGUAAUACGUAGGUGGCAAGCGUUAUCCGGAAUUAUUGGGCGUAAAGCGCGCGUAGGCGGUAAAAUAAGUCUGAUGUGAAAGCCCCCGGCUCAACCGGGGAGGGUCAUUGGAAACUGUUUUACUUGAGUGCAGAAGAGGAGAGUGGAAUUCCAUGUGUAGCGGUGAAAUGCGCAGAGAUAUGGAGGAACACCAGUGGCGAAGGCGGCUCUCUGGUCUGUAACUGACGCUGAGGUGCGAAAGCGUGGGGAUCAAACAGG
rnacentral:rRNA from 1 species